CUCCAUCAUCUCCCCUCUCCUAGUUUAUCACCAUCUUUAUUGAGUCUGCAAGGUUGUGAUGGCAAGAAGAGAGAAAGGAAGAGGGAGAAAUUCAUGGAGGAACAGAUUGAGCCUCGGGAUGGAAUAACUGUGAGAUGUGUUUGUUGCAUUCACAUAUACAGUUCUCAAACAGUAGCUGCCACUUCCAGCUGGGAGAGAAAUGAGAGCUCUGUUCAUGGUGAUCCAGUAUCUCCAGAAUCCAUCACCACUGCUGACCUCCCACUCCAUGUCUCCAAGUGCUCUGCUAUACCUGCCACCAGCAGCUGCCACCUCCAGACUUUGGAACGUUAUAAUAAAACCUCUGUUCUACAAUCUGCCUUCUGCUUCGACAUCCUCACUCCCCACAAACAAUUCUAAUAAACAGCAAUUAAUCUGAAA